GUCACAGUAUUAACUCCGUCAUGCAGCGAAAAAUUAAUGCAUUAUUAUUCUAUGACUUUUCAAAGAAGAAUAAAGUAAAAUUAUGAGAUGAAUCUAAAUUUAGAAGUUUGGAAGACAACAAGCUGCUAGCAACCCAGCUGCAACAUAACAAAUGGAAAAUCAUUCACCAAAGGCACUAAACAGCUCAGUGGAGACUUUUU